rnacentral:rRNA from 1 species
UGAGGAAUAUUGCACAAUGGGGGCAACCCUGAUGCAGCGACGCCGCGUGGGUGAUGAAGGUUUUCGGAUCGUAAAGCCCUUUUCUGCAUGACGAGCACAGGACGGUAGUGCAGGAAUAAGUGUCGGCUAACUACGUGCCAGCAGCCGCGGUAAAACGUAGGACACAAGCGUUAUCCGGAAUUACUGGGCGUAAAGGGCGUGCAGGCGGUUGCGUAAGUUAGGCGUGAAAGACUUCGGCUAAACCGGGGGAGGUCGUCUGAUACUGCGCAACUAGAGUAUGGUAGAGGCGUGUAGAAUUCCGGGUGUAGUGGUGAAAUGCGUAGAGAUCCGGAGGAAUACCAGUGGCGAAGGCGGCACGCUGGGCCAUAACUGACGCUAAGACGCGAAAGCAUGGGUAGCGAACGGGAUUAGAUACCCAAGUAGUCCCUGAGCGGGCUGGCAAGGCGCAU